UAAGCCAGAUGCCUUGAUUCUGACUACUUGGCCACUCUUCAAUCUUUACAUUGCUGCCUCUCAGCAUCCAACACCGUGAACCUUGCAGAGUUCUUCCUUGCACCUCUCUGAGAUCUUGCCUACUCCUGAUCUCUUCAGUGGAUACUUUACUGAAGAAAGCACGUGAACAACCAACGAACAUAUGGACCCUAGUGUCGCAGCCCUCUGAAAGCCUCUACCCAGAAGCUGACUGAGACAGAUGCAGAUACCCACAGACAACCACUGCACAGAAGUCAGGAAUGCCUAAGGAAGAGUUAGAGGAAGGAUGGAAGGCCCUCAAAAGGAUAGCAACUCCACAGGAAGACCAAGAGUUCCAACUAACCCAGACCCCUAGGAGCUUCCAAAGACUGAACCACUCUGCAAAGAGCAUACAUGGGCUGGUCUGAGACCCCAGCACACAUAUGUAGCAGAGGGCUGCCUUGUCUGGCCUCAGUGGGAGAGGAUGUGCCUAAUCCUGCAGAGACUUAAUAUACCAGGGUGGGGGGACACGGAGGGGUCGGCCCUCUCAGAGACAAGGGUAA